UAGGGAAUCUUCCACAAUGGACGCAAGUCUGAUGGAGCAACGCCGCGUGAGUGAAGAAGGUUUUCGGAUCGUAAAGCUCUGUUGUUGGUGAAGAAGGAUAGAGGUAGUAACUGGCCUUUAUUUGACGGUAAUCAACCAGAAAGUCACGGCUAACUACGUGCCAGCAGCCGCGGUAAUACGUAGGUGGCAAGCGUUGUCCGGAUUUAUUGGGCGUAAAGCGAGCGCAGGCGGAAGAAUAAGUCUGAUGUGAAAGCCCUCGGCUUAACCGGGGAACUGCAUCGGAAACUGGUUUUCUUGAGUGCAGAAGAGGAGAGUGGAAUUCCAUGUGUAGCGGUGGAAUGCGUAGAUAUAUGGAAGAACACCAGUGGCGAAGGCGACUCUCUGGUCUGCAACUGACGCUGAGGCUCGAAAGCAUGGGUAGCGAACAGG
rnacentral:rRNA from 1 species